GUGCCUUAAACUAAUGAGUAAGGAAAAUAAACAAGCCCUGGUAACGCUUGGCUUACAUACUAGAUUUACUAGUCUGUAAAUUUUUGCAGGGGUACAGGUCGUCCCGUGGAGGAAUGCAUACUCUAGCAAUCUUCCUGGUGACAGCGAUCUGCCCC